AAGGUAAGGGCGUGCUUGAUACGCAACAUGGUUAGUUUAGUCAGAGGAGGGCGGCGAAUGGGUCGUGUUUAUGUGUGUUGUGUUGAGGGGAUGUAGGGUGAUGGACGUUCAGUGAGCAUGGGUUGGUGUGCCACCGGUGUCGUCAACUGAGAGGCUUGCUUGUUUGUUUUGCAGACCGAUCUGCGUUUCCAGAGUCACGCCGUGCUGGCCCUCCAAGAAGCCGCUGAGGCAUACCUAGUGGGUCUUUUCGAGGAUACCAACUUGUGCGCCAUCCACGCGAAGCGAGUGACGAUCAUGCCGAAGGACAUUCAGCUGGCGAGAAGAAUCAGAGGAGAAAGAGCAUAGGCUUAGA
rnacentral:lncRNA from 1 species